GGAGAAAUGAGAGAUCCAGGAAGAUGGAGGGAUUUGCCCACUUUCAUGAAGAAAGUUGGAACUGAUGGAUAGCCUAAGUGCUGAAGUUAAGCAGGCAAAUGGAUAGAUUACUGCUUGUAGGCCAGACCUCAUCUUAUUAUGCAGCUGCUCCUGCUCACAAAACUGGAAAUUAAAGUUUAGAAUCUGGAAUCCACGACUGUCCAUUCAUAGAUACACAAAAUGGAGAUGUAUACAAAGAGAUUACCAUAAAAUAUUUGAGAGA
rnacentral:lncRNA from 1 species